AUUGAACGCUGGCGGCAGGCCUAACACAUGCAAGUCGAGCGGAUGAAGGGAGCUUGCUCCUGGAUUCAACGGCGGACGGGUGAGUAAUGCCUAGGAAUCUGCCUGGUAGCGGGGGAUAACGUCCGGAAACGGGCGCUAAUACCGCAUACGUCCUGAGGGAGAAAGUGGGGGAUCUUCGGACCUCACGCUAUCAGAUGAGCCUAGGUCGGAUUAGCUAGUUGGUGGGGUAAAGGCCUACCAAGGCGACGAUCCGUAACUGGUCUGAGAGGAUGAUCAGUCACACGGGAACUGAGACACGGCCCAGACUCCUACGGGAGGCAGCAGUGGGGAAUAUUGGACAAUGGGCGAAAGCCGGAUCCAGCCAUGCCGCGUGUGUGAAGAAGGUCUUCGGAUUGUAAAGCACUUUAAGUUGGGAGGAAGGUCAGUAAGUUAAUACCUUGCUGUUUUGACGUUACCAACAGAAUAAGCUCCGGCUAACUUCGUG
rnacentral:rRNA from 1 species